rnacentral:rRNA from 1 species
GACGAACGCUGGCGGCGUGCCCAACACAUGCAAGUCGAGCGAGUGGAGUUCUUCGGAACAAAGCUAGCGGCGGACGUGUGAGUAACACGUGGGCAACCUGCCUCAUAGAGGGGAAUAGCCUUCCGAAAGGGAGAUUAAUACCGCAUAAGAUUGUAGCUUCGCAUGAAGUAGCAAGUAAAGGAGUAAUCCGCUAUGAGAUGGACCCGCGGCCCAUUAGCUAGUUGGUGAGGUAACGGCUAACCAAGGCGACGAUGCGUAGCCGACCUGAGAGGGUGAUCCGCCACAUUGGGACUGAGACACGGCCCAGCCUCCUACGGGAGGCAGCAGUGUGGAAUAUUGCACAAUGGGGGAAACCCUGAUGCAGCAACGCCGCGUGAGUGAUGACGGCCUUCGGGUUGUAAAGCUCUGUCUUCAGGGACGAUAAUGACGGUACCUGAGGAGGAAGCCACGGCUAACUACGUGCCAGCCGCCGCCGUAA